rnacentral:rRNA from 1 species
UACGUAGGGGGCUAGCGUUGUCCGGAAUCAUUGGGCGUAAAGAGCGUGUAGGCGGUCCGGUAAGUCCGCUGUGAAAGGCGGGGGCUCAACCCUCGAAUGCCGGUGGAUACUGUCGGGCUAGAGUGCGGAAGAGGCGAGUGGAAUUCCUGGUGUAGCGGUGAAAUGCGCAGAUAUCAGGAGGAACACCUAAUGCGAAGGCAGCUCGCUGGGACGUAACUGACGCUGAGACGCGAAAGCGUGGGGAGCAAACAGG